rnacentral:rRNA from 1 species
AAAUUGAAGAGUUUGAUCAUGGCUCAGAUUGAACGCUGGCGGCAGGCCUAACACAUGCAAGUCGAGCGGUAGCACAGAGAGCUUGCUCUCGGGUGACGAGCGGCGGACGGGUGAGUAAUGUCUGGGAAACUGCCUGAUGGAGGGGG